CAGGAAAGGGUGCAUUUGUGAAUUUAGGGGCGACGACGAUUGUGGGACUAGGAAGCGGUAGAGCUUGAGGGCCUCUAGGGGUGGAGCCUAGACUUCACCUUCAAGGAUGUAAGAGCCAAAGAUUUUAGAGUGUCAACUGGGAGUGCAAAGAGGGGGUGAGUGAUCUAACACAAAGCGACAACAUCGGCUGAGGAGAGCAGUGGAAAGCACAGCACGAGGAUAUGGUCGUUAAGCACUGUGACGUCACCAAUGACGCUGUGUUGGGCAUGAAGGUCAGGAGCGGACGGCGCCGCCUCAGUGUCGGGCUGACAGCCAGCAGACGUAGUUCCUUGGGCGGUGUCUGCUUCUUACUUCAUUUGCAGCUACACCGGUCAUCAGGGCUGGCUCGACAAGGGCCACGAGUCUUCUUGAGAAAUAACUUAGUGAACGGAGGACUAGUCAGUCACACAAGGAACGGAACUAGUUCAGGCGUGACGUAGCUGCAAGUCUCGAUAGAGGUGGUUGGACGGUGUUGAACACGGGGCGACUGACAACGUUGCAGGAAUAUCUGAAAGAAAAG